ACGGUGUCGUAUUUUUAAUCUUUACGACAGACACUGUCACUUGCCGUUACAAUUCGCUACCACUAGAUGGGCGUCAGGUGCCGCCAUUACAAAAUACGUAAGCCCGCCAUUACAAAAUAUGUAAUGGCGUCUUUGACUAGUGUGAGCGUAUGUGUAAAAAGUUUAACAGUCGUAUUUUAAGGACGCGAAUUGUUUGCUUCCCUCUUAACAACGGUACAAAAUGAAAAACAAAAAGGAAUCGAAAAGGCUCAUUGGAUUCAGCAGCUGGGCUGUCGCCGGUUACCACGUCCGCCUCAUAAUUCAGAGUUGCUGGGAUCGAUUCCGACUCCCGCCUUCCUGUGUGGAGUUUGCAUAUUCCCCCCGUGCCUG